rnacentral:lncRNA from 1 species
CAAUGACUGAAUCAGUUUAUAAAAUCCUAGCCUUUUUAAACCAGUGAUUUUUUUUAAUAUUUAAUACAAUCAAACCUAGUGAAAGUUUUUUUUGUAUAAACCUUACAAAUUACUGGGAAACUAAAAUUUAAUUCCCAUUCAUGACUGCACUGCACAAACAUCUAUGCAAUAAUCCGUAUCUUCCCUAAGAUGUUGUGGCUUAUAUAGUAAAGGUACUUUCUUCCUCUCCACCAUAAGUUUACUGAAAACUUUCUUCUAGAAAGUAUAAAAAAAAC